rnacentral:rRNA from 1 species
UACAGAGGUCCCGAGCGUUGUUCGGAAUUACUGGGCGUAAAGGGCUCGUAGGCGGCCAACUAAGUCAGACGUGAAAUCCCUCGGCUUAACCGGGGAACUGCAUCUGAUACUGGAUGGCUUGAGAUUGGGAGAGGGAUGCGGAAUUCCAGGUGUAGCGGUGAAAUGCGUAGAUAUCUGGAGGAACACCGGUGGCGAAGGCGGCAUCCUGGACCGACACUGACACUGAGGAGCGAAAGCCAGGGGAGCAAACGGG